GUGCCAGCAGCCGCGGUAAUACGUAGGGGGCUAGCGUUGUCCGGAUUUAUUGGGCGUAAAGAGCUCGUAGGUGGUUCGGUAAGUCGGAUGUGAAAUCUCCAGGCUCAACCUGGAGGGGUCAUUCGAUACUGCCGUGACUAGAGUUCGGUAGAGGAGUGUGGAAUUCCUGGUGGAGCGGUGAAAUGCGCAGAGAUCAGGAGGAACACCCGUAGCGAAGGCGGCACUCUGGGCCGAUACUGACACUGAGGAGCGAAAGCGUGGGGAGCGAACAGGAUUAGAUACCCUCGUAGUCC
rnacentral:rRNA from 1 species